GGGGAUUUAACUCAGUGGUAGAGUGCUUGCCUAGCAAGCGCAAGGCUCUGGGUUCGGUCCCCAGCUCCA
rnacentral:tRNA from 1 species